rnacentral:sRNA from 1 species
AUGGAGCUCCUCCCGCCGCUGCCUCAGUCCUUCCUGUUGCUGCUGCUGUUGCCUGCCAAGCCCGCGGCGGGCGAGGACUGGCAGUGCCCGCGCACCCCCUACGCGGCCUCUCGCGACUUUGACGUGAAGUACGUGGUGCCCAGCUUCUCCGCCGGAGGCCUGGUACAGGCCAUGGUGACCUACGAGGGCGACAGAAAUGAGAGUGCUGUGUUUGUAGCCAUACGCAAUCGCCUGCAUGUGCUUGGGCCUGACCUGAAGUCUGUCCAGAGCCUGGCCACGGGCCCUGCUGGAGACCCUGGCUGCCAGACGUGUGCAGCCUGUGGCCCAGGACCCCACGGCCCUCCCGGUGACACAGACACAAAGGUGCUGGUGCUGGAUCCCGCGCUGCCUGCGCUGGUCAGUUGUGGCUCCAGCCUGCAGGGCCGCUGCUUCCUGCAUGACCUAGAGCCCCAAGGGACAGCCGUGCAUCUGGCAGCGCCAGCCUGCCUCUUCUCAGCCCACCAUAACCGGCCCGAUGACUGCCCCGACUGUGUGGCCAGCCCAUUGGGCACCCGUGUAACUGUGGUUGAGCAAGGCCAGGCCUCCUAUUUCUACGUGGCAUCCUCACUGGACGCAGCCGUGGCUGCCAGCUUCAGCCCACGCUCAGUGUCUAUCAGGCGUCUCAAGGCCGACGCCUCCGGAUUCGCACCGGGCUUUGUGGCGUUGUCAGUGCUGCCCAAGCAUCUUGUCUCCUACAGUAUUGAAUAUGUGCACAGCUUCCACACGGGAGCCUUCGUAUACUUCCUGACUGUACAGCCGGCCAGCGUGACAGAUGAUCCUAGUGCCCUGCACACACGCCUGGCACGGCUUAGCGCCACUGAGCCAGAGUUGGGUGACUAUCGGGAGCUGGUCCUCGACUGCAGAUUUGCUCCAAAACGCAGGCGCCGGGGGGCCCCAGAAGGCGGACAGCCCUACCCUGUGCUGCGGGUGGCCCACUCCGCUCCAGUGGGUGCCCAACUUGCCACUGAGCUGAGCAUCGCCGAGGGCCAGGAAGUACUAUUUGGGGUCUUUGUGACUGGCAAGGAUGGUGGUCCUGGCGUGGGCCCCAACUCUGUCGUCUGUGCCUUCCCCAUUGACCUGCUGGACACACUAAUUGAUGAGGGUGUGGAGCGCUGUUGUGAAUCCCCAGUCCAUCCAGGCCUCCGGCGAGGCCUCGACUUCUUCCAGUCGCCCAGUUUUUGCCCCAACCCGCCUGGCCUGGAAGCCCUCAGCCCCAACACCAGCUGCCGCCACUUCCCUCUGCUGGUCAGUAGCAGCUUCUCACGUGUGGACCUAUUCAAUGGGCUGUUGGGACCAGUACAGGUCACUGCAUUGUAUGUGACACGCCUUGACAACGUCACAGUGGCGCACAUGGGCACAAUGGAUGGGCGUAUCCUGCAGGUGGGUCCUCAUCCCCACAGUCCCCUAGCCCUGGGUCCUUGUCUCCAUCCCCAUUUUGCUCACAUCUGA